rnacentral:rRNA from 1 species
GUUUGAUCCUGGCUCAGGACGAACGCUGGCGGCGUGCUUAACACAUGCAAGUCGAACGGGGUGUUUAUUUCGGUAAACACCAAGUGGCGAACGGGUGAGUAACGCGUAAGCAAUCUACCUUCAAGAUGGGGACAACACUUCGAAAGGGGUGCUAAUACCGAAUGAAUGUAAGAGUAUCGCAUGAGACACUUACUAAAGGAGGCCUCUGACAUAAGCUUCCGCUUGAAGAUGAGCUUGCGUCUGAUUAGCUAGUUGGUGAGGGUAAAGGCCCACCAAGGCGACGAUCAGUAGCCGGUCUGAGAGGAUGAACGGCCACAUUGGGACUGAGACACGGCCCAGACUCCUACGGGAGGCAGCAGUGGGGAAUCUUCCGCAAUGGGCGAAAGCCUGACGGAGCAACGCCGCGUGAACGAAGAAGGUCUUAGGAUCGUAAAGUUCUGUUGUUAGGGACGAAGGGUAAGAAUCAUAAUAAGGUUUUUAUUUGACGGUACCUAACGAGGAAGCCACGGCUAACUACGUGCCAGCAGCCGCGGUAAUACGUAGGCGGCAAGCGUUGUCCGGAAUUAUUGGGCGUAAAGGGAGCGCAGGCGGGAAACUAAGCGGAUCUUAAAAGUGCGGGGCUCAACCCCGUGAUGGGGUCCGAACUGGUUUUCUUGAGUGCAGGAGAGGAAAGCGGAAUUCCCAGUGUAGCGGUGAAAUGCGUAGAUAUUGGGAAGAACACCAGUGGCGAAGGCGGCUUUCUGGACUGUAACUGACGCUGAGGCUCGAAAGCUAGGGUAGCGAACGGGAUUAGAUACCCCGGUAGUCCUAGCCGUAAACGAUGGAUACUAGGUGUGGGAGGUAUCGACCCCUUCCGUGCCGGAGUUAACGCAAUAAGUAUCCCGCCUGGGGAGUACGGCCGCAAGGUUGAA